rnacentral:rRNA from 1 species
UACGUAGGGGGCAAGCGUUGUCCGGAAUUAUUGGGCGUAAAGAGCGUGUAGGCUGUUCGGUAAGUCUGCCGUGAAAACCUGAGGCUCAACCUCGGGCGUGCGGUGGAUACUGCCGGGCUAGAGGACGGUAGAGGCGAGUGGAAUUCCCGGUGUAGCGGUGAAAUGCGCAGAUAUCGGGAGGUACACCAGUAGCGAAGGCGGCUCGCUGGGCCGUUCCUGACGCUGAGACGCGAAAGCUAGGGGAGCGAACAGG